rnacentral:rRNA from 1 species
AUGAACGCUGGCGGCACGGAUAAGUCAUGCAAGUCGAACGCUCCUUGUUAGCAAUAAUUAGGAGAGUGGCGAACGAGUUAGUAACACCUUGGUAUCUGCCUCAAAGUCAGGCAUAAUCCCGCGAAAGCGGGACUAAUUCCUGAUGGUCUCGUAAGAGUAAAGACGCACGUCGCUUUGAGAGGAGCCUAGGUCCUAUCAGCUUGUUGGCGGGGUAAUGGCCCACCAAGGCUAUGACGGGUAGGGGGUGUGAGAGCACGACCCUCAACGAUGGAACUGAGAAACGGUCCAUACACCUACGGGUGGCAGCAGACGAGAAUAUUCGACAAUGCACGAAAGUGUGAUCGAGCGAUGCCGCGUGCGGGAAGAAGGGCUUCGGCCUGUAAACCGCUUUUGCCAAGGAAAAAUUUUGAUUGUACUUGGAGAAUAAGGGGUUGCUAACCUCGU